GUCAAAGCGGGUUGUCCAUGCCCA
rnacentral:siRNA from 1 species